GACGAACCGUGCAAACGUUGUUCGGAAUCACUGGCUUAAAGGGCGCGUAGGCGGCUCGCCAAGUCAGGGGUGAAAUCUUUCGGCUUAACCGGAAAAGUGCCUUUGAUACUGGCGGGCUGGAGGGAGGUAGGGGCAUGUGGAACUUCCGGUGGAGCGGUGAAAUGCGUUGAUAUCGGAAGGAACGCCGGUGGCGAAAGCGACGUGCUGGACCUCUUCUGACGCUGAGGCGCGAAAGCUAGGGGAGCGAACGGG
rnacentral:rRNA from 1 species